rnacentral:rRNA from 1 species
CACGUAGGGCGCGAGCGUUGUCCGGAAUUAUUGGGCGUAAAGAGCUCGUAGGCGGUUUGUCGCGUCUGCUGUGAAAACCUAAGGCUCAACCUUGGGCUUGCAGUGGGUACGGGCAGACUAGAGUGCGGUAGGGGUGACUGGAAUUCCUGGUGUAGCGGUGGAAUGCGCAGAUAUCAGGAGGAACACCGAUGGCGAAGGCAGGUCUCUGGGCAUUAACUGACGCUGAGGAGCGAAAGCAUGGGGAGCGAACAGG